CGAAUGUCUACAACCACGUAUUGCAUGUACCGAUAAGCAGUGAUGAUAUGUUACCCGACGCAACGCCUGCCUGUGAUAAUUAAUUUGACUGAACGACCGUGUUUUUAAUAAUUCUUUUUAUAAACUUUAAUCUAAAAGUACAAGUCUCAUAAGUUAUUUUAGUGUGUGUCCAUGCUUAGUUGAAAUGUUGAACCCGAUGUAAUUAGUGAGAUAAUUCAAGAUAAUGAACACACACGUAAAAGUCAGAAUUAGAAUGAGAACGUACUAUGACGAAGACAAUGUAAUUGUUUAACACAUAGGUCAACAACCAUUGAUAAUGACUGUGAAUUACAGUCGAAAUAUUUGGUGACCAUUAAAUGAAACUUGAGCAAUUCCGAUAUACCAAUCUUUAAUGUGUAAAUAUACCUUUCCCUCAGCUUGGAUAUACAAACUUACCAGAAACUUACUCAUUUUCAAGUAAAAGCAUU